rnacentral:rRNA from 1 species
UGGGGAAUAUUGCACAAUGGGCGAAAGCCUGAUGCAGCCAUGCCGCGUGUGUGAAGAAGGCUCUAGGGUUGUAAAGCACUUUCAGUAGGGAGGAACAGCUUAAGACUAAUACUCUUGAGCCUUGACGUUACCUACAGAAGAAGCACCGGCAAACUCCGUG